AACGUAAGAGACAAACGUUAUCCGGAGUUACUGGGCGUAAAGCGCACGUAGGCGGAUAUUUAAGUCAGGGGUGAAAUCCCAGAGCUCAACUCUGGAACUGCCUUUGAUACUGGGUAUCUUGAGUAUGGAAGAGGUAAGUGGAAUUCCGAGUGUAGAGGUGAAAUUCGUAGAUAUUCGGAGGAACACCAGUGGCGAAGGCGGCUUACUGGUCCAUUACUGACGCUGAGGUGCGAAAGCGUGGGGAGCAAACAGG
rnacentral:rRNA from 1 species